GAGGUAUACGCCCUAAACCCCACAGAGGUUUAAACAGUGGUGUAGGAGGUAUACACCCUAAACCCCACAGAGGUUUAAACAGUGGUGUAGUAGGAGCUACACGGAGGUAUACGCCCUAAACCCCACAGAGGUUUAAACAGUGGUGUAGGAGGUAUACACCCUAAACCCCACAGAGGUUUAAACAGUGGUGUAGUAGGAGCUACAUGGAGGUAUACGCCCUAAACCCCACAGAGGUUUAAACAGAGGUGUAGGAGGUAUACACCCUAAACCCCACAGAGGUUUAAACAGAGGUGUAGGAGGUAUACACCCUAAACCCCACAGAGGUUUAAACAGUGGUGUAGUAGGAGCUACAUGGAGGUAUACACCCUAAACCCCACAGAGGUUUAAACAGAGGUGUAGGAGGUAUACACCCUAAACCACACAGAGGUUUAAACAGUGGUGUAGUAGGAGCUACAUGGAGGUAUACACCCUAAACCACACAGAGGUUUAAACAGUGGUGUAGUAGGAGCUACACGGAGGUAUACACCCUAAACCACACAGAGGUUUAAACAGUGGUGUAGUAGGAGCUACACGGAGGUAUACACCCUAAACCCCACAGAGGUUUAAACAGAGGUGUAGGAGGUAUACACCCUAAACCACACAGAGGUUUAAACAGUGGUGUAGUAGGAGCUACACGGAGGUAUACACCCUAAACCCCACAGAGGUUUAAAUAAAGGUUCAGUAAAAUAAAUAUGCACAAAACCCACUUUUUGUUCAGUGGACAUUGGGUAUAGUCACUUCUUAAUUCCCACUGAUCCGUAUCAAAGUAGUGUAGUGGUGGUAUAAACGGUAUCAAGUAUGUGGUACAAUAGAGAAAGUAGCCUACACAAUCGUAAAGCACGUGUAAUAUAUUCACAUGUAACGCUGCACACAGCCAAGUUUCAGCUGAAUAUCACGGCAGUAAGAGCCGCAGCUGGUUGUACCAUGGAGCAGCUCACAGCUGGUAGGGGUGGUAGGACUUGCCUAGUUAAAUAAAGGUUCAAUUAAUCAAAUCAAAAAAUAAUGGGUAAGCAAACCAGGUAUUGAAACAGUUUGGUCCAAAGUCUUGGUUGAAUCUUUGCAGUGCUCAAUACAGUCAUGUGCUGUUUUGAAUGAACAUUUCCAAAUGCUUUCCCAAGGAAAACUUCCUAAUUCAAGCUGCAAUAUGUAAAUUUGGGCGACCCAACAAGUUCAUAGAGGUUGAGAUUGUACAAAGACUCUGUACAAUUACUUAUUGUUUUGUCACAAACUGAAAUUAGGCGAACUUCGAAUUUUAGCAACCAGGAAAUGGAGGAGCUAUUUCUGUAUAGUGCAUCUUUAAAUGUUGACUACAAAUUAGGCCUACAUGAUAUAAUUAUGAUUGUAUCAAUCUGGAGGGCAUUUCUUUUGAAAACUCUGCAAUCACAUGUACUCUACUGUAGGCCUACAUUGUAGAGUACAGACACUGCGAGCCACAUGGUAUUUUGCUUAAUUAUUUUAAAGGGCAACUAGACCCUCCCAAAAAUAGUAUUUUAUAUUUUUCCCAGACCUAAAAAAUGGUCUCCUUGUGCGGUAUAAGCAUUGAUGUGGGCUUAACAUGCAUUUGUUGUUUUUCUAUGAAAGAUUUUCUGGCAAAAUGAUGGUGUACUCACUUCUCCAGGCACCGCUACACCAAUGGGUUUUCCUGUAUCUGUGAGUGAUUUGAUUUGGGACCUGAAUCUCCAGCUUAGGCUGUUUACGCAAUGGAUCAUCAUGUCUCACUCCCAUAGGCUGCUUCACUUGUCAAUCAUGUCUCUGCUAUCUCGCCCUGUAAUCUGUGAUAUCUCUCUCUCAAACACUCCUCUGUCCCUCGUCGUCAACUCUUUAUUUAAGAUAUUAAGCAAGCUCUACUUCUCUUAUCCUACAGUAUCUUCACCUGUCUGACAAAUCAAGCAAAUGAGAAAAUAAAACAAUCUGAAGAGAACCACACAGGGUUGAAUUGAUGAAAGCUGAAGUCAUUUAGUAAU